GUACGGCGACUACCCGUUAUUAUAUCAGAUUGUGUUGCACAUCGCACCACGUGAUGUCAUCAGUGAGAGUUUAAAAUCAGCGACGGUAGAAACUGUCGACUGGGUGCACUGGUUCGGUCGUCGUGAGUGUAUUCUACAUCACAUUGCGGCACUCGGCUACACUCAGCAACUGAGAGCAGCAGUCAGGAUUUCUGCACGCAAUGUGAAUUUGCAGGACACGGACGGCAAUACUCCACUUCACAAGUUGUUACAAUUUAAUCAUUCGUAUGGAGAUCACAUAGACGCAACUAAUUACUUGAUAAAGGCUGGAGCGAAUGCCAAAUUAAAAAACCAGGAUGGUCAAACUCCAGCUGAAGUGUAUGUGGACAACAAAUGUGAAAAGUAUGAUUCAACCAACAGAAAA